GGCGGAGAAUCUUGGCACGGAAGUGGCUGCGGGCGGACGGGUUCGUGAACAGCGUCAAGAAGCUCCAUCGGCGUGAGAUCAGCUCCAAGGGGGACCGAGCGUUCGGUCCGAGCAACGCCCUGGGGAGGUUCCGGAUAAGGCUGCAAAUGGGUCGGGUUGACCCAUGACCCGACCCACUUAAAUCCGAUCCAAUUCAUUUAAAAAAAUUCAUAGGGUCAGGUCGGA
rnacentral:lncRNA from 1 species